ensembl:snoRNA
AUACAUCACCACACUGAUCAAAAAAUAGACCAGAUUUUCAUGUGGGGCAAGGAAGUGUCCUUUUAAAAUUUAAGCAAACUGGGUGUCUGUCUUGUACCUUGUCAGGUAACAAUG